rnacentral:lncRNA from 1 species
CACGUGGUCAUCCCCCUGCAGUAAUAUGUACUGGAGCAAUGACUCAGCUCACAGUUCUACCCUAUAGCUAUGUUUGUGCCACUACCACCUCCUGCCUCAAAGAAACUCUUGCCAGGGUGAUUUACCAAGGAUAAAGAUGUCUAAUUUAAGUUGGACCAACCCAAUUCUCUUUCUUGGAAAUUUGAAACUAGAAGAGAGCCACAUGGAGAAUGAAGGUCUUAUUUCAACUGUUGUUCAGGAAUGAUCCAAACAAAUUCAGAAGCAGAUUUAAAUGUUAUAGGAAAACACCAGUGUCUAGAUCCCAGAUCGCCAACUCCCAAGCCACAGACUGGUACCAGUCCAUGGCCUGGUAGGAACUGGGCCACACAGCAGGAGGUGAGUGACAGGUAAGAUAGCAAAGCUUAAGCUGUAUUUACAGCCCUUCUCAAUUGCUCACAUUAUUUCCCAAGCUCCGCCUUCUGUCAGAUCAGUGGCAGCAUUAGAUUCCCAUAGGAGCACAAAACCUAUUGUGAACUGUGCAUGCGAGGGGUCUAGGUUGCAUGCCCUUUAUGCACGUCUAAUACCUGAUGAUCUGUCACCGUCUUUCAUCACCUCCAGAUGGGACCAUUUAGUUGGAGGAAAACAAGCUUAGGGCACCCACUGAUUCUAUAUGAUGGGGAGUUGUGUAAUUAUUAGAUGGUGUAAUUAUUAGAUGGUAAGUAGUAUUAUACAUUACAAUGUAAUACUAAUAGAAAUAGAUAAAGUGCAAAAUUAAUGUAAUGCACUUGAAUCAUCCCAAAUAAUUCUCUCCCCAACACCCCCACCAGUCUGUGAAAAAAUUGUCUUCCAUGAGACUGGUCCCUGGUGCCAAAAAGGUUAAGGACUGCUGCUCUAGAUCAUUUCUUUUACGUACCAAGUGUUCCAAGAAUACUAUAACAAAAAACAUCAAAAGUUCAGUAGAAAAUGGGCAAAGGGCAUAAGCAAACUGGUCAGAGUAAAAAAAAAUAUAUAUGAAGGGUCCUUAGUUGCAUGAAAAGAUACUCAUCUUGAAAGUCCAAAAGUUUGACCUGCCCUUUGUGUGCCAGUCUUCAGAGGAAAAGACAUUUCCUUACAAUGCUUGUCAGACUGUCAAACGAUAUUAAAUACAACCUCUGUGGAAGGCAAUCUGACAAUAACUCUCAAAAUAAAACAUGAAUUCCAUUUUUAGGAAUUCAUCCUACAGGUAGAUCUACACAUGUACAUGAUGUUUGUAAUUAUAAGUUUUUAUACUUCAGAAUCUUGUGUCCAUCAAUAAACAAUUGGUUUUUACAUAAGGCAAUAUUAUGCAGUUUUUAAAAAGAACAAAGAGAUCUCCAUGUACUUAUGUGGAAAUAAUCAAGAUAUAGUAUUAACUGAAAAAAGAGCAAGUCUCAUAAGAUUGCAUACAAAAGUAGGUCACGUUUUGUGUAUGAAAAGAGGAACAAAUUUUCAAUGACAUAUGCUUAUUGUUGCCUAGGAAACAGUGGAUGGAUAAAUAAUAAACUAAUAAAAUACAUUAUUUACAGGGAGAAGGAGAACUGUUGGAUGGGGGCAAAAGUAAAGCUUAUUAUAUAGUUUUUAUUUUUGAACCAUGUGAAUGCAUUAUCCAUUCAAAAGUAAAAUAAGCCAGUUUGAUGGCUCAUGCUCGUAACUCCCAACAUGUUGAGAGUUAGAGGCCAGGAGUUUGAGUUCAGCCUGGGAAACAUAGAGAAACCUUGUCUCUACUAAAAACAAACAAAAAAUUAGCUGGGCAUGGUGGUAUGUGACUGUAGUCCUAGCUAUUUGGGAGACAGGUAGGAAGAUGCUUUAAGCCCAGGAGGUUGAGGCUGCAGCAAGUCAUAAUCACACCACUGCACUCCAGCCUGAGCAACAGAGCAAGACCCUGUCUCAAAAAAUAAAAAAUAAAAUAAAAAUAAAACAUAAAACCCAUAGCAACAAACUCCCAGC